rnacentral:rRNA from 1 species
CCUACGGGAGGCAGCAGUGAGGAAUAUUGGUCAAUGGACGAGAGUCUGAACCAGCCAAGUAGCGUGAAGGAUGAAUGCCCUAUGGGUUGUAAACUUCUUUUAUCUGGGAAUAAAAUGUUCCACGUGUGGGAUUUUGUAUGUACCAUAUGAAUAAGGAUCGGCUAACUCCGUGCCAGCAGCCGCGGUAAUACGGAGGAUCCGAGCGUUAUCCGGAUUUAUUGGGUUUAAAGGGUGCGUAGGUGGGUUGUUAAGUCAGUUGUGAAAGUUUGCGGCUCAACCGUAAAAUUGCAGUUGAAACUGGCAGUCUUGAGGACAGUAGAGGUGGGCGGAAUUCGUGGUGUAGCGGUGAAAUGCUUAGAUAUCACGAAGAACUCCGAUUGCGAAGGCAGUUCACUGGACUGCAACUGACACUGAGGCUCGAAAGUGUGGGUAUCAAACAGGAUUAGAUACCCUUGUAGUC